GACGAACGCUGGCGGCGUGCCUAAUACAUGCAAGUAGGACGCAGUUGCGAACGGGUGAGUAACGCGUAGGUAACUACCUAUUAGAGGGGGAUAACUAUUGGAAACGAUAGCUAAUACCGCAUACUAGUAGAUGGACCUGCGUUGUAUUAGCUAGUAGGUAGGGUAAUGGCCUACCUAGGCAACGAUACAUAGCCGACCUUGGAGGGUGAUCGGCCAAACUGGGACUGGGGCACGGCCCAGACUCCUAAGGGAGGGAGCAGUAGGGAAUUUUCGGCAAUGGGGGGAACCCUGGCCGGGCAAAGCAGCGUGAGGGAAGAAGGUUUUCGGAUCGGAAAGCUCUGUUGUUAAGGAAGCGGUACUUAACCAGAAAGGGACGGCUAACUACGUGCCAGCAGCCGCGGUAAUUC
rnacentral:rRNA from 1 species